CGUAAAGACAAAUUGGAAAAAGACACGGAUAUCAUUGUUUUUUGCUAAAUUUUAGCAUCUAUGUACAACUACAAUAGGUUUCCACUUACUCAGUGAGUCCAAUUCGACGUGUUACAAACGUAUGCGUAAACCUAUAAGACCCCAGUAUUUCGUACGGGUCUAAAAAUAAUUUUCUGGAUUGAAAUUGACACUUUUUUUG